GUCUUUCUUUUGUCAGGUCUAUCAAACAGAUAACAUGCGGAAGUCUUUUCACGUUUUGUUUUGUCUUGGUCUUUUAAUAACCGCCAACACAGCAUCGAGCAGGUCUAGAGGAGUUGUGGAAUGUACCAUAGACAAAACAUGGUUUCGGAUAGCACGAAUUCUUCUGCACGUGCGCAUCACCCAGCGUCCCUUAAAAUUUCACGAAUAUGCUGCCAAGAUAACAUCAUCAUUUAGGAGGGGAUGUCCAGUGUUGGAUUGCCCAAACGUUCGCUAUGUACCACGUAUAUGUAGGAUACCCACUGUUUUCAAGUUUGGGGGUCGGACGUGCCGGGGGUGUCAUGUAAAUAUGUGCACUCAUCCAUCAUUACCUUCACUCCUCAGGUCAAGGACAUCUCCUAAUGAAUACCAUGACCUCUUCAAAGGAUACAGGGUCACUCGAUAACAGAACGUAUCAUCUAGUGUUUAAAUCAUCUAUUUAAACUAAUGGGUCAAGGGCAAAUGUUCAGUUGAUGAUGUCAAUGACUAAGAUAGAAGACAAAUGACCUUGGCCCUGGGGUAUCACGCAGUGGUCACAUGAAUAGAGGUUAAGAGAGGAAAGAUCGAUAUGGAAAGUGAAAACAGACCCCACCCCCGAUCGCAAGACGCUAUUGCGUCAGGUUAUGACACUGAAGAUGUAGGCCACAAAAACUCAGCAUAAUUAUAAGUUGAUCAUUUUAUUUGUUAUAAGUUUGGUAUCCUAUUGUAAUAAUAGUUCAUUGUUACAUUUCAUAAUUUUCAAUCGAAGUCUGUAUAGUAUGUUCAUAUGCACUUUGUAUAAUUAUUGCAUUUAAAAUGUCUCCUCGUGAAUGAAAUGAAGAAUGAUAUAAAGUUAUUUUGUUUUAA